rnacentral:rRNA from 1 species
UAAUAGCGUAUAUUAAUGUUGUUGCAGUUAAAAGCUCGUAGUUGGAUUUUGGUGUUUGACAAAUGGUCUGCCUUCGGGUUUGCACUGUUUGUUGGCACUUCUUUUCUGGGGAACUCACUGCUCUUAAUUGAGGGGUGCUGUAACGCAGAUCGUUUACUUUGAAAAAUUAGAGUGUUCAAAGCGGGCUUACGCUUGAAUAUUUCAGCAUGGAAUAACACUAUAGGACUCCUGUCCUAUUUCGUUGGUCUCGGGACGGGAGUAAUGAUUAAGAGGAACAGUUGGGGGCAUUCGUAUUUCAUUGUCAGAGGUGAAAUUCUUGGAUUUAUGAAAGACGAACUUCUGCGAAAGCAUUUGCCAAGGAUGUUUUCAUUAAUCAAGAACGAAAGUUGGGGGCUCGAAGACGAUCAGAUACCAU